rnacentral:rRNA from 1 species
GAUGAACGCUGGCGGCGUGCUUAACACAUGCAAGUCGAACGCUGAAGCCCUUUCGGGGGUGGAUGAGUGGCGAACGGGUGAGUAACACGUGGGUAAUCUGCCCUGCACUCUGGGAUAAGCCUUGGAAACGGGGUCUAAUACCGGAUAGGACACAUCGCCGCAUGGUGUGUGUGUGGAAAGUUCCGGCGGUGCAGGUUGAGCCCGCGGCCUAUCAGCUUGUUGGUGGGGUGAUGGCCUACCAAGGCGACGACGGGUAGCCGGCCUGAGAGGGUGACCGGCCACACGGGGACUGAGACACGGCCCAGACUCCUACGGGAGGCAGCAGUGGGGAAUCUUGCGCAAUGGGCGAAAGCCUGACGCAGCAACGCCGCGUGGGGGAUGACGGCCUUCGGGUUGUAAACCUCUUUCGACCGGGACGAAGGGUGACUGACGGUACCGGUAGAAGAAGCACCGGCUAACUACGUGCCAGCCGCCGUAGUAA